UCGAGAAUCUUCGGCAAUGGGCGCAAGCCUGACCGAGCGACGCCGCGUGUGGGAUGAAGGCCUUCGGGUUGUAAACCACUGUUAGAGGGGAUGAAAUGCAGGUGGGUUCUCCCAUCUGUUUGACAUAGCCUCAGAGGAAGGACGGGCUAAGUUCGUGCCAGCAGCCGCGGUAAGACGAACCGUCCAAACGUUAUUCGGAAUCACUGGGCUUAAAGGGUGCGUAGGCGGCGCGGCAAGUUGGGUGUGAAAUACCUCGGCUCAACCGAGGAACUGCGCCCAAAACUGCCGUGCUCGAGGAAGAUAGAGGUGAGCGGAACUUAGGGUGGAGCGGUGAAAUGCGUUGAUAUCCUAAGGAACACCGGUGGCGAAAGCGGCUCACUGGAUCUUUUCUGACGCUGAGGCACGAAAGCUAGGGUAGCGAACGGG
rnacentral:rRNA from 1 species